rnacentral:rRNA from 1 species
CCUACGGGUGGCUGCAGUGGGGAAUAUUGGACAAUGGGGGCAACCCUGAUCCAGCCAUGCCGCGUGUGUGAAGAAGGCCCUCGGGUUGUAAAGCACUUUCAGUGAGGAAGAACGCCUGGUGGUUAAUACCCAUCAGGAAAGACAUCACUCACAGAAGAAGCACCGGCUAACUCCGUGCCAGCAGCCGCGGUAAUACGGAGGGUGCGAGCGUUAAUCGGAAUUACUGGGCGUAAAGCGCGCGUAGGUGGCUUGAUAAGCCGGUUGUGAAAGCCCCGGGCUCAACCUGGGAACGGCAUCCGGAACUGUCAAGCUAGAGUGCAGGAGAGGAAGGUAGAAUUCCCGGUGUAGCGGUGAAAUGCGUAGAGAUCGGGAGGAAUACCAGUGGUGAAGGCGGCCUUCUGGACUGACACUGACACUGAGGUGCGAAAGCGUGGGUAGCAAACAGGAUUAGAUACCCGAGUAGUC